GAUUAAGUUAUUAAGGGCGCACGGUGGAUGCCUUGGCACUAGAAGCCGAUGAAGGACGUUACUAACGACGAUAUGCUUUGGGGAGCUGUAAGUAAGCUUUGAUCCAGAGAUUUCCGA
rnacentral:rRNA from 1 species